rnacentral:rRNA from 1 species
GACGAACGCUGGCGGCAUGCUUAACACAUGCAAGUCGAACGAAGUGGCGAACGGGUGAGUAACGCGUAAUCCACCUGCCCUUAAGAGGGGGACAACAGUUGGAAGCGACUGCUAAUACCGCAUACUGAAGCCGGGGAUUGCGGCUGAUUAGCUAGUUGGAGGGGUAACGGCCCACCACGGCGAUGAUGAGUAGCCGGUCUGAGAGGAUGAACGGCCACAUUUGGACUGAGACACGGCCCAGACUCCUACGGGAGGCAGCAGUAGGGAAUAUUCGGCAAUGGACGAAAGUCUGACCGAGCAAUGCCGCGUGUGUGAAGAAGGUUUUCGGAUUGUAAAACUCUUUUGUUAGAGAAGCGGUAUCUAACCAGAAAGCCACGGCUAACUACGUGCCAGCAGCCGCGGUAAUAC